CCUGCGGAAGGAUCAUUACUAGAGCAAAGGAUAGACAGCGCCCGCGGAGCUCGCUCCCGGGGCUACCCUACUCCCGUAGGGUUUAGAGUCGUCGGGCCUCUCGGAGAAGCUCGGUCCUGAACUCCACCCUUGAAUAAACUACCUUUGUUGCUUUGGCGGGCCGCCUCGUGCCAGCGGCUUCGGCUGUUGAGUGCCCGCCAGAGGACCCCAACUCUUGUUUUUAGUGAUGUCUGAGUACUAUAUAAUAGUUAAAACUUUCAACAACGGAUCUCUUGGUUCUGGCAUCGAUGAAGAACGCAGCGAAAUGCGAUAAGUAAUGUGAAUUGCAGAAUUCAGUGAAUCAUCGAAUCUUUGAACGCACAUUGCGCCCUCUGGUAUUCCGGGGGGCAUGCCUGUUCGAGCGUCAUUAUAACCACUCAAGCUCUCGCUUGGUAUUGGGGUUCGCGGUUUCGCGGCCCCUAAAAUCAGUGGCGGUGCCUGUCGGCUCUACGCGUAGUAAUACUCCUCGCGAUUGAGUCCGGUAGGUCUACUUGCCAGCAACCCCUAAUUUUUUUUAAGGU
rnacentral:rRNA from 2 species